rnacentral:misc_RNA from 1 species
UGUAGGAGCGAGCCUGCUCGCGAUGGUCGUGAACGAUCAUGCGCGUUUACUGAAUAAACGCGUUGUUCUGGAGUCCAUCGCGAGCAGGCUCGCUCCCACA